rnacentral:piRNA from 1 species
UUGGAGAUAACAGGGCUGUGGCCCCACACGU